AUCAGAAGCUUCCUGUCGAAGCAACCCGGUACCACGACGAGAAAACUCCGGCGAUCGGCCGUCUCCUCCGCCGUCCCUUCUACGCCAUGAAUUCGAGAUCCUCAUCGCGCGCCGCCUCCAACGGCCCCGCCUUCCCCUCCUUCUCCGCUCCCUCUGGUGACUCCCGCAAGAGGAGCAGAAACCCUCCCACCACAAACCCACAAAGGCCUCUCCGCUCGAAGACCAAGGCCCCUUUCGCCGACUUUCGAAGUUACAUGGUGGAGAAGAACCGGAAGCUGCGGGCCCAGUUCCAAGCAGACGCGACCACUUCGUCCCUCGGCGCUGGCAGCGGCCAUGCUGACUCCGGCGAUGAAAAGGGAAUAUUCCAUGGGGUUUCCAUUUUCGUUGAUGGACUUACCAUUCCGUCCAGUCAGGAACUGAGGGGGUAUAUGCUGAAGCAUGGUGGGCGGUUCGAGAAUUACUUCUCGAAGCAUACUGUGACUCAUAUCAUUUGUGGCAAUCUACCUGAUAGUAAAAUGAGAAACCUUCGGGCAUUCAGCCAUGGACUGCCUGUUGUGAGACCUCAGUGGGUGCUGGAUUGUCUGGCAGCUAAUAGGCUUUUGAGUUGUGCUCCUUAUCAACUUGGGGGGCUUGUGAAUGGAACCUGCAAACAACAGAAACUUUCAACUUACUUUCAUCACCAGGGCAUCUCAAGCUGUAAUGAUGCUAGAACUACUGUUAAUCAUGAUGUGAAAAUUGAUGUGGAUCCUAAGCAAUUAGUAUUACCUCCAGAGGGCCAAUGUUUUAGAUGCGAUGGGCCCAGUGGCCAAGCCAGUGAAGAGUUGGAAUGCAUGAAAGUUGAAAAAUUGUAUGGAGAGAUAAAUGCAAACCCAGAAUCAACUGAUCUGGAGGUCAAGUUUAGUGUUCCACCUGCAUCUGGUGUCAUUCCUACUCCUUUAAGUAUGAUUAAUAAGAGUUACAUGGGCCAUCAAAAAAUACAUGAAUCUUUGGAUUCAAGUGUAAAUUGCAUAGGAGCUUCCAAUCAGGUACACUCAACACUUACAGAUCCAAACUUCGUGGAGAACUACUUCAAGAGCUCUAGGCUGCAUUUCAUUGGAACCUGGAGAAAUCGAUAUCGAAAGCGUUUCUCUAACUUGCUCACUGGAUAUAAGAGCAGCAAUGAGAAAACCAAUUGUUGUGUGGCCAAGCACAAAGCUUCAAUUAUACAUGUAGAUAUGGACUGCUUUUUUGUAUCAGUGAUCAUAAGAAACUUCCCAGACUUGGUAGAUAAGCCUGUAGCAGUGUGCCACUCGAACAAUCCUAGAGGAACAGCUGAAAUAUCCUCUGCAAAUUAUGUGGCAAGAAAUUAUGGAGUGAAGGCUGGGACGUUUGUCAGAGAUGCCAAGGCUUGCUGCCCUCAUCUUGUUAUCUUGCCUUAUGACUUUGAGGCUUAUGAAGAGGUAGCUGAGCAGUUUUAUAGUAUAUUGCAUAAACACUGCAGCAAAGUUCAGGCGUUAAGCUGUGAUGAAGCAUUUUUGGAUGUGACAGGAUGUGACGACGAUCCUGAAGAAAUUGCAUCAAUGAUUAGGAAGGAGAUCGAAGAUACCACCCGCUGCACAGCCAGUGCAGGUAUUGCUGGAAAUUUGCUUCUGGCUUAUUUGGCUACUAGAUCUGCUAAACCAAAUGGCCAACGAUUCAUUCCAUCUGAGAAGGUUGAGGACUAUUUGAAAGAUCUUCCUGUCAUGGCACUUCCAGGCAUUGGGUAUGCUACAUAUGAGAAGCUGAAGAGCAGACAAAUUCAAACUUGUGGUCAGAUGUACAUGAUACCGAAGGAAGCUCUACAGAAGGACUUUGGUAUAAGAAUUGGUGAUAUGUUGUGGAAUUAUUGUCGAGGAAUUGAUAAUCGAACAGUUGAAGUUGUUCAGGAAAGAAAAUCCGUCGGAGCUGAAGUUAAUUGGGGAAUUAGGUUCAAUAACCUCACAGAUUGUCAUCAUUUCCUUGUGAACCUCUGCAAGGAGGUCUCAUUGCGGCUGCAAGGAUGUGGAUUGCAAGGACGUGCUAUUACAUUAAAGGUAAAAAAAAGAAAGAAAGGAGCAGCAAAGCCAUUAAAGUUUAUGGGCUGUGGAGACUGUGAAAGUGUGAGCCGGUCCAUUACGGUACCUGUUGCCACAGAUAAUGUAGUUGCACUUCAGAGAAUAGCCAAGCAGAUUUUUGCUUCUUUUCAUGUUGAUGUCAAGGAAGUUCGUGGCAUUGGCUUGCACAUGACAAAGCUUGAGAGCUCGGAUAUUAGUAGAAAAGGGCAUGUGGACAAUGCACUAGAAUCGUGGCUCAGUUCUUCCACGGUUGACACUGGAAAAAAAAGUGAACAAAUUACUUGUGCAGAUAAACAGUGUGAUAAUGGAGGUUUGCCAUUGCCUAAUGGGGAACCUCAAUCAAGAUGCAUAUAUGGUUCAAAUCAACAAGAUUUGGGGAAAUCUAAGUCUUUGUGUGAUAGUGAUACUGGUUAUAAUUGUCUUCCAGAUAAGGAUGCAAGGUGUUGCAGAUCUUAUGAAAUGAGAGCCUCAGCAUUGCCUCGUCUAUGUGAUCUAGAUAUAGAUGUAGUUAAGGAUCUUCCUAGAGAUAUAGUAUUGGAAAUGGAUGAUAUUUAUGAGGGGGAACUUUCUGAUCUUAUCCGGAAGAGUGAAAAGAAGGGUAGCCGCAGCAGCUCAUGCUCCUCCAGUGUAUCCUUGCCAAAUGAGGACACUAAUGUUAUUGAUGGUUACAUAGCUAGUGGGCAUGUUGAUUCUCCAGAACUGGAUUUAGGUGCUAAAGAUAAAGGGAAGCUGCCUGUUCGUGAGACUUUGAAUCCAAAAACAGUUGAUCCUUGUAGAAGUAAGAAUCCAAAUAAGAAGGCUCAAGUCUCUGUAUUAGAAAAUGUGAAGUCUGUGGAGAGAACAUGUCUGAAAAUUCAAUCACACAAUUCUUGCUCAAGAUUAAACGAGCUGCAUAUUACCUCAACCAUGGGGCCACAACAGUUAAUGCCUGCAUCGCUUAGCCAAGCAGAUGCUUCAGUUCUGGAACAGUUGCCUGAAGAUGUAAAGGCUGAUAUAUGUGGCUUCCUUCCAGUUCACAGGAAAAUAAAAGUAUGUAAGGAUGUUCCUUUUGGGUUUGAUGUUCCAAACAGUGUUAAACAUUCCAGUCCAUGGUAUACCAAAUCAUAUCUUUGGUUGGGCAGUCCACCAUUUUGGGUGGAGAAAUUCAAGAUAAGCAACAGCUACUUUUUGAAUGCAAUUGCUAUGUUGUAUGCCGAAUCUGGCAAGGAUAUUCUUCUCUCUUCUAUUCUUCAGUCUAUAACUCCAUUGCUUUCAUCAGUUUCUGAGUCAAGUUGUGAAGAAUAUGAUGAAGCACUUCAUAGCUUGCAUGAGGUUAUUUCGCAGUAUAUUGUUCUAAAGAUUGGAUCUGAUGUGGAGGAGCUUUACAAUUGCUUUUGUUUUCUGAAACGGUUUUCUACGGUGUCAAAGUUGUUAUUGCGAGUAUACAACAGUACACUUCCUCUUUUUCAGGCUUCCAUGAGUGAGAUCUACGGAGGAAAAUUACGGCUUUCUGUUAUUCGUGAAAAGCCUGGUGAAGAAUGAAAUUGCUGUUUGUUGAACCAUUGUGCUUCAGGGUUCACUGCAUCUUGACAUUGAUGCUUGGUCCUUGUGGGGGGUUCACAGAUAAAAUUUUGGUUUUGUACAUAGCAAGCACUUCUUGGUUUUAAUAAUGUAUAUAUGCCUGGCAGUGAGAUACGAGUGAUCCAAAAAAAUAUGAAGUAACAAAUAAAAGGAAACAAUGGAGGAAUUGCGUUGAUCUGUCAUAGUUGAUGCAUCAAUUAUUUGUGGCAGCAACUACAGUGGGUAGCCUGGUUUGUUCUAUAAGAAAAUAGAAAGAUAAUUGGCUGAUGCCACACCAGUAUCCAGUAGCACAGUGAGAUCUUGUGGCCCAACAACGUCAUGACAGUCCGAUAAAUGGACAUAUCAUCUAUAGGAAGGACUGGUGGGUUGCAUGUCUCCAUCGAAAGAGCUAAUAUCUAGCCUCACGGUCAUAAUUGGACAAAAGAAUUCAACUCUUCUAAGACAUGAGAGAAUCACUGGUGUCUGCCGUGCCACAUCCUUAUCAAGUGUUUGAAUGGACCUUUCUUAGCUGGAGAAUAAGAACGAACCCUUGAUUGAGUCCGAAUAAUCACCGAUCUGAUUCUCAGUAUCGACGGCUAAAGUUCAAAUAGGAUCUCCACAUGGUGAGGCUCAUCCAGAAAGUGUCUCCACGGAAGGCAGAUGAAGAAGGCUUUCUUCUGAUAUCAGGUGCCACUGCCUCGAAAAAUCUGCCGAUUGGCAUCGGUAAUCCAAAGAACAUCCAGUGGAACACAAUGAACUCUUUCCACUCUUCUUAUCAGAUAGCAGUGUGCGACAUGUAGAGCCAAGGAAACAGGAAUCCAAUGCAUAGAGUUAGCCAUGAGGCAAGAAGUACGAAAUGGGGCCGUCUUGGAUUUGACCCUCGUUCGGACAGAUUAUAGCCGACCACCUCCUGCAGCUUAUUCAAUGUCACCUCAAACAUCCCCAUCCAUGGAUAGAUGACAAUUUGGCUUGUCUUGGUGAUGUCUUUUCUUUAUUUUAAGGGUUUGGAUGGGAAAGUAUUCAUCCAAAUUAUUAUAUUAGAUGAAGAGGAAGCAACCAAAUAGCGGAAAUGAUUUGCUUUUAUUUAUUUAUGCUUCUCUUUCAUCAUUCAUCAGAGUAAGAGCCGUCAACCCCUACAUCAGCCAGCAGCCAUCCGCCACGCAUAUCUCGAGAAAGGUGCGUCCAAGAUUCCAGCUUCCGGCCCUACCGUCUCGGAAUCCUGCAUCAGGUAGGCGGCCGGGAAUCUGACCUCUCUUAUCGUCGUCGCUACUCCAUGAAUAGAAGUGUUUGAUGAAAUGCCUCGCAGAGUUUUUCGUUAGGGGUACUACUGUUAACAUUGCAUGAGUCGAACAUCUUCCUUUGUUGCACUUUGAAUGGUCCAUAAAACGCACACCAACAUCUUCCUUUAUUCUUUUUAUUUCUUUCUUCCUCUGAAACAAAAACUUAUCCCUGUUUCAACGAGGAUGAGGUUGUGGUGUGAUUUGUUUGGCUGUAAGCUUUCCACCUCUCUCCCUUUCUUUCGGAUUGAAGUUUUCUGACACUCCAUCCACCCAACCCACUGCCAC